AAAAAAACGAACAGUCAACGUGCAGGACACUUCGUUGCUUCCUGCUCUUUUAAAUUCUGCUAGUGGUUGACCAAUGGAUCAUUGGCUGCUGUGCCUUGUAAUGGUGAACUAUGAAGCUCACUGGAAACAGCCGUCAUACCCACCGCUGAUAAAGGCGCAUCCCCACGGAAGUUCUAAAGCAUGGUUAAUUGGAAAGGAUGCUGAAAGACAGCGGCCACAAUCAGCGCUGCCAUAUACGAGCAUCAACACUCUUCACCAGCAGCAACACUUAUGCUACGUUUAGACAAGGCAAGUGAAUUGAGCAAGUCGUUUGAAUCGAACGCGAAUUGAACGUGUAAACACCUUAAUUCAAAUCACUUGAACGAAAAGAAAGUUGAACAUGUUCAACUUUUGGCAAGUCAAUUGAAUUCAACUGAGUUGUUGCAUUAUGCUACGUUUUGACAGGGCAAGUGAAUUGAAUAACUCAGUUGAAUUCAAUUGACUUGCCAAAAGUUGAACAUGUUCAACUUUUUUUUCGUUCAAGUGAAUUGAAUUAGGGUAUUUACACGUUCAGUUCGCGUUCGAUUCAAGCGACUUGCUCAAUUUAAUUGCCUUGUCUAAACGUAGCAUUACGGCAUGGCCAAUGAGAAGCUAUGAAGAGCGCUCAACAAUAGAAUAAAAUAUCUAAAUCUAAAAUUCAAAUUCAAUUUCAAAUCAAAGUAAUAAAAUAAACCGUAAAACAAUUAAUUGUAUUGAAUUUCUAUUGUUAUAUUAGUGUGAAAUGUAUUCCAAAACGUAUUGUAUUUUUACUGUAAAACAAUAAAAAACGUUAUAGAAAACAUUUGAAACACAAUGUUUUCUAUGGUUUUGUCCUUCGUAUUCAUCCCAUUAAAGAACCGUUAAAUCAAUUGUUUUGCUCUGAAUUUUGUAUGGAAAAUUUUCGAUUUUUUUAUUGUAAA